rnacentral:rRNA from 1 species
UCAUCCGCGUGAGUGAAGAAGGCCUUCGGGUUGUAAAGCUCUUUCGCAAGGGAAGAAACGAUACAGUCUAAUAAACUGUGUUAAUGACGGUACCUUGAUAAGAAGCACCGGCUAACUACGUGCCAGCAGCCGCGGUAAUACGUAGGGUGCGAGCGUUAAUCGGAAUUACUGGGCAUAAAGCGUGCGCAGGCGGUUUUGAAAGUCAGAUGUGAAAUCCCCGGGCUCAACCUGGGAACUGCGUUUGAAACUCCAAAGCUAGAGUAUGGGAGAGGGGGGUAGAAUUCCACGUGUAGCAGUGAAAUGCGUAGAGAUGUGGAGGAAUACCAAUGGCGAAGGCAGCCCCCUGGCUUAAUACUGACGCUCAUGCACGAAAGCGUGGGGAGCAAACAGGAUUAGAUACCCUGGUAGUCCACGCCCUAAACGAUGUCUACUAGUUGUUGGGAGAGUAAAAUCUCUUAGUAACGCAGCUAACGCGUGAAGUAGACCGCCUGGGGAGUACGGUCGCAAGAUUAAAACUCAACGGAAUUGACGGGGGCCCGCACAAGCGGUGGAUUAUGUGGAUUAAUUCGAUGCAACGCGAAAAACCUUACCUGGCCUUGACAUGUAGCGAACUUAGCAGAGAUGCUUUGGUUGGCCGAACGGGAACGCUAACACAGGUGCUGG